UACGAAGGGGGCUAGCGUUGCUCGGAAUUACUGGGCGUAAAGGGCGUGUAGGUGGUAAUGUAAGUCUGGCGUGAAAAUUUUUUCGGCUUAACCGGGAAAGGUCGUCGGAGACUGCAUAACUAGAGGACGGUAGAGGCGUGUGGAAUUCCCGGGUGUAGUGGUGAAAUUCGUAGAUAUCGGGAGGAACACCGGUGGCGAAGGCGGCGAUCUGGGUCGGAUACUGACGCUGAGGUG
rnacentral:rRNA from 1 species